UCAUAGGUUUAGAGCCAGUAGCUGUCACGAUAUCUAUAAGCUCCUCCUCUGUGGGCGAGAGGAGCGGGGACGAAAGUCAUGAGCCCAGGGAGAGUGAGAGCGACAGAGUCCGUGAACUGAAGUUUGAAGAGAAUCAGCACCGCGUUGGAAGGGCCGAACUGCAGCUGGGAUCGGGGGUCUCCCCAGGUCAUUCCCUCUGAGACCCCCAGCUGGUGGAGGUCCCCUCUGACACUGCCCCGUGACCUCCACCCCAGGCAUCCACGCCACAGGCCGUGUCCCACCUGAGAGGAUGUCACUGCUGCCUGCGCUUGCCGUGCUCGCCCUGUACACCGUUGGAUCCAGAGCGGUGAAAAUGGAGCAAAAAGAACAGUACGUCACCAAGCCACUCACAAAAACAGUCCGCAUUAAUUGUGAGGUGUCCGAAGUUGAUUUUUCUAGUGCUAUCAUACACUGGUACCAGCAGAAACCGGGGGAGGCUUUGAAGCGGCUGCUCUACGUAUCAUCAACAGGAGCAACUCAAUAUGACCCGAACACCGAUAAGAAAAGGUUUGGGGCAGAUAAGAGAACUGCAUCCUCCACCUCCAUCCUAACAAUUACCAACAUAGUGAGCGAGGAUACGGCCACCUACUACUGUGCCUGCUGGGAUACCCACAGCAACACUCACUCUCAGACAGCCCCCACAAAAUCCCUCCCCUCGCCCCUCUGCCCACAUCCGUCCUCGCCUGGAAUCCGCAACGACUUUCUACCUCGAUCUCUUCCUGGCCAAAGGAUCUUAAAAAAACAAGCAAAGGGCAGCAGUGUGGCCUAG